rnacentral:rRNA from 1 species
ACCGCAAGGCCUCACGCGAUUGGGUUGGCCGAUGUCCGAUUAGCUAGUUGGCGGGGUAAGAGCCCACCAAGGCGAUGAUCGGUAGCUGGUCUGAGAGGAUGAUCAGCCACACUGGGACUGAGACACGGCCCAGACUCCUACGGGAGGCAGCAGUGGGGAAUUUUGGACAAUGGGGGCAACCCUGAUCCAGCCAUUCCGCGUGAGUGAAGAAGGCCUUCGGGUUGUAAAGCUCUUUUGUCCGGAACGAAACGGGUAGGUCUAAUAAGCCUGCCUACUGACGGUACCGGAAGAAUAAGCACCGGCUAACUACGUGCCAGCAGCCGCGGUAAU